CUAUCCCAGAAGCCAGAACAGCAAGAGGGAUUGCUGCUUUCACUGCACAGCGAUCCCUCUUACUGUUCUGGCUUCUGAGAUUC
rnacentral:miRNA from 1 species